AGAUAAAUAAUUUAAAGCUUCUAACUUUAAUAAAGUCUCACUGACUAUUAUCUU
rnacentral:tRNA from 1 species